GACGAACGCUGGCGGCGUGCUUAACACAUGCAAGUCGAACGGAAAGGCCCUGCUUUUGUGGGGUGCUCGAGUGGCGAACGGGUGAGUAACACGUGAGUAACCUGCCCUUGACUUUGGGAUAACUUCAGGAAACUGGGGCUAAUACCGGAUAGGAGCUCCUGCUGCAUGGGGGGGGUUGGAAAGUUUCGGCGGUGGGGGAUGGACUCGCGGCUUAUCAGCUUGUUGGUGGGGUAGUGGCUUACCAAGGCUUUGACGGGUAGCCGGCCUGAGAGGGUGACCGGCCACAUUGGGACUGAGAUACGGCCCAGACUCCUACGGGAGGCAGCAGUGGGGAAUAUUGCACAAUGGGUGGAAGCCUGAUGCAGCAACGCCGCGUGCGGGAUGACGGCCUUCGGGUUGUAAACCGCCUUCGCCUGUGACGAAGCGUGAGUGACGGUAAUGGGUAAAGAAGCACCGGCUAACUACGUG
rnacentral:rRNA from 1 species